rnacentral:lncRNA from 1 species
UGCUGCUUUUGGGAUAACUCUGUGUUUCCUCACAGCCGCCCCUCAGUCCGGUGGCGCCUGUUGACACGUCAUGCUGUAACGCACACUCCACAGGAAGGAAGAUAAGGUGGCAUUUCAGAGAUGUUCAUACCAUAGGAUGCCCACUGCUUGGGAUGAGGAGCAGGGUGGCUGUCAGCACUUCCAUCUCAGGAGCUGUUUUUGGUAGCGGCCAUGGGGAAAGCCAAAGAAGUCAAGCACUGAGAGAUGAAGACAAAGAACAAACAUUAUAAGGGACACAGAUUAAUAAAAGAAGCUUGGCCACACUACCUCCCCAUAAGCGACUGCCGUUUGUGUUAUCACAGUGCUGAAGGAGAGCUGGGAGUGAGCUGUCAGCAGAUGGGCCUGCUGAAGCGAAUCACGUUCUGCACUGCGUGCUCUGCAGCUCCCGAACAAAAUGGGCUAAGCAGGAAACAAAAGCUGGGCUUUGACUCCUGCUGCACUGGCUCAAGCAGGACACGUGGCAGGACGGGCCCAG